GUUUCUGUAGCUUAUCAAAAAGCAUGACACUGAAGACGUCAAGAUGGCUGAUCCUUUCACCCAGAAACA
rnacentral:tRNA from 1 species